UCCCCACAGCAGGAUAAAUACAGCCAAAAACUUUGUCUCCUCACCUUCUCAUCCUACAAGCCUUUAUGUCAAGAAAGAGAGGCUUGACUUCUAGGGACUCCAAAGUGAAGCCUCUACUGAACAGGGGAAGCAAAACAGAAGGAUUCAUCCAACAUUCCUACAAAGAAGACUGUGCAGCCUUCAGGAAACAUUCAUUUUCAUGAAACUGUUGGUGACUUGUACUCAUGAUGGAGCAACCUCAGAGCAGGUCAGAGUGAGAUUUUCAUUCCAUAUUCUGCAUGCUGUGAUGAUACUAUGUCAGAGAUGGCAAACUGUGGCCUUCCAGAUGUGGCAGAAGAAUUAAUUCUCAGCAGCUUCUGCCAGCAUGUCCAUUAGUGAGAAAUACUUGAAGCUAUAAAUCAGCAACAGCUGGAGUUUCAUAAGAUCCCCAGUCCUGUGGUGUUUUUUUCUUUUAGCAGUUUUCAGUUGAGAGAGAAUAAGUACAUGCAAUAUACAAUAUUAUGUUUUUCUGCAUAUUGCCAGAUAAAAGAAGAAACCUACCUAUUCAGAUAUUUCAUAAACUAAAACAAUGUACCUAAGGAAUCUUUCAUGCUGGCUUCUGUUGGAUUCAGGCUCAUGUGGAAUUCAAUCAGGGGUGAAAUCCAAAUUUUUUUACUACCGGUUGUCUGGGCGUGGCUUGGUGGGCAUG